rnacentral:rRNA from 1 species
UGGGGAAUAUUGCACAAUGGGCGCAAGCCUGAUGCAGCCAUGCCGCGUGUAUGAAGAAGGCCUUCGGGUUGUAAAGUACUUUCAGCGGGGAGGAAGGUGUUGAGGUUAAUAACCUCAGCAAUUGACGUUACCCGCAGAAGAAGCACCGGCUAACUCCGUGCCAGCAGCCGCGGUAAUACGGAGGGUGCAAGCGUUAAUCGGAAUUACUGGGCGUAAAGCGCACGCAGGCGAUCUGUCAAGUCGGAUGUGAAAUCCCCGGGCUCAACCUGGGAACUGCAUUCGAAACUGGCAGGCUAGAGUCUUGUAGAGGGGGGUAGAAUUCCAGGUGUAGCGGUGAAAUGCGUAGAGAUCUGGAGGAAUACCGGUGGCGAAGGCGGCCCCCUGGACAAAGACUGACGCUCAGGUGCGAAAGCGUGGGGAGCAAACA